ACCGCACCACCCUGAACACGCCUGAUCUUAUCUUCUACUGCACGACUGGGGGGGUCUUGUUUCACGUGUGCCAACACACUGAGCCCUUCAGUCAUCAUAGCUUCUCGCCAGCCGAGCCAGGGAAGACAAGGACGUCUUCUAGAAGUUUCUUUCUUGUUUUUUUAACCCCAACCACGCGGUUUCCAGUGUUCUGCCCCAGGACCCCAGCUCUCCACAACCUGACCUGACAACAUGGAAGAGUCCUGAUUGGAAAGAUGUCUGCCUGAGAUCUACUGGGAUAUAUGCAUCUCUCGUGUUGGGGCCUUUACAGACUGGGGCAUUGAAACAUCAAUGAUGAGAACACUACUCCUCAUAAAUACAUGAUACAAAACGGCAGAGGUAUGGCUAGGCCAUUCCAGAAAUUGCUAGAAAUUCUGUCCAAGUCCAAAGGCAAAGUUCACUUACUGAUUUUUAGGCAAAUUCAAGUCAGCAACUCAAACAGCAGUUAAAAAAAAAAAAAUCCUACACAACC
rnacentral:lncRNA from 1 species